rnacentral:rRNA from 1 species
UACGUAGGGUGCGAGCGUUAAUCGGAAUUACUGGGCGUAAAGCGUGCGCAGGCGGUCUGUUAAGACAGAUGUGAAAUCCCCGGGCUUAACCUGGGAACUGCAUUUGUGACUGCAUAGCUAGAGUACGGUAGAGGGGGAUGGAAUUCCGCGUGUAGCAGUGAAAUGCGUAGAUAUGCGGAGGAACACCGAUGGCGAAGGCAAUCCCCUGGACCUGUACUGACGCUCAUGCACGAAAGCGUGGGGAGCAAACAGG